AGAGUUUGAUCAUGGCUCAGAUUGAACGCUGGCGGCAGGCCUAACACAUGCAAGUCGAACGGUAGCACAGAGAGCUUGCUCUCGGGUGACGAGUGGCGGACGGGUGAGUAAUGUCUGGGAAACUGCCUGAUGGAGGGGGAUAACUACUGGAAACGGUAGCUAAUACCGCAUAAUGUCUUCGGACCAAAGAGGGGGACCUUCGGGCCUCUUGCCAUCAGAUGUGCCCAGAUGGGAUUAGCUAGUAGGUGAGGUAAUGGCUCACCUAGGCGACGAUCCCUAGCUGGUCUGAGAGGAUGACCAGCCACACUGGAACUGAGACACGGUCCAGACUCCUACGGGAGGCAGCAGUGGGGAAUAUUGCACAAUGGGCGCAAGCCUGAUGCAGCCAUGCCGCGUGUAUGAAGAAGGCCUUCGGGUUGUAAAGUACUUUCAGCGAGGAGGAAGGCAUUGUGGUUAAUAACCGCAGUGAUUGACGUUACUCGCAGAAGAAGCACCGGCUAACUCCGUGCCAGCAGCCGCGGUAAUACGGAGGGUGCAAGCGUUAAUCGGAAUUACUGGGCGUAAAGCGCACGCAGGCGGUCUGUCAAGUCGGAUGUGAAAUCCCCGGGCUCAACCUGGGAACUGCAUUCGAAACUGGCAGGCUAGAGUCUUGUAGAGGGGGGUAGAAUUCCAGGUGUAGCGGUGAAAUGCGUAGAGAUCUGGAGGAAUACCGGUGGCGAAGGCGGCCCCCUGGACAAAGACUGACGCUCAGGUGCGAAAGCGUGGGGAGCAAACAGGAUUAGAUACCCCUGGUAGUCCACGCCGUAAACGAUGAGUGCUAAGUGUUA
rnacentral:rRNA from 1 species